rnacentral:lncRNA from 1 species
UCUGUUUCUUGCUAUCUCUUAAGUCUGGAAGGUUGGACUAGAGAGUUAUGGUCAGGGUUAUUAGAAUGUGGCCUGUUGAGAGCUGUUUUUUUCGUGGCAGAGUUGAUAGCAUUGAACUAAUCCUUCUUAACAUUGAUGAUAACAAGAUGUAGGCGAUGAUUCCCUCCGAUUGUCUUGAACAUUUAAGCCAUAUAUUUGUUGAGCAUUCAAUUUAUGUCAUCACUACCUUUCAUGUCAUGGAGAGUAUGAGUGGUUAAAUAGCCGGGUUCCACUUGUGUAACAUUGGGUAUUUUAAGUUAUAUAACAUUGUUCAAUCAGGGUGUGCCAUGCGGCACACCCUUUUUUCUAUAAAAAAAACUCAAUUAAAGGAGAAUAAGAGAACACGUGACUCAGAGAACAAGUGAAAACUCAAAAACGCAGUCCUAUUCUCUUCUCCCCUACGACAUCAGAACCCACCACCCACCAUCACUUUUCUCCGCCACCGCCGACACCUCCCUCCGUCGCCAUCCUCCUCUCCACCAUCGACCACCGUUCCUCUUCACUUUCUCUCCUGCGACACUCUUUUUCAAAUUUGAUGAAUUUGAUUUGGAAUUAAUUUUGAGAUUCAUUAAGGGAUUCAUUGAGGGUUGUUAUUGUAGAGAUCAGUAGACUAAUAACAACAAAUAUCCUUUCAGUUGUCUCUUGAGAGGUGGGUUGAUUUGUGAUUAUUUGAAUUUUGACAAAAAUAGUGAAAAGAGGGUUACAAUGAUGUUGCAGAGAAUUGCUAUUAUUAGUAUGCUAUGGUGAAAUUGAAAAUAUGUGAAUCUGAACAUCUGUUAUGAAAACGCAUAAGCGGAAAAAACGCAAUAUACUGCUAUUAGUCUGCUAAAUCUGUGAAACUGAGCAUCUGUUAUGAACAAUGCUCUUUAUGGCUUGAAGCAUGUACCUAUAUCUUGUAAUAAUAUAAUAUACUCCUUUCUAAUGAAUCUGCAGUUUAACAAAUGUUAUUCUUUUCUAAAUCAUAAACAUCCUCAAUUAUAGUGUGCAUAUAUAUGGAUGACUUAAUGAUAACUGACAGCGUAAAAAAUGAGUUUGAAUAUUUUAAGAGAUUGAUGAAGUCUGAGUUUGAAAUGCUAAUAUAGAAGAAUUGUCAUACUUUCUUGAAAGGAAACUUGUGAAAACCGAAAGGGAAACCAUUCCACAUGAAAGAAAUUAUGUAAGUGAGGUGCUAAAAAUGUUCAAUAUGAUGAAGUGUAAUGUUACAAAUACAAAGACAUCAACAGAAACCAAUAUCAAAUUGGUGAAAGAU